GAAACUGGAAUUAAUACCGUAUACGCCCUACGGGGGAAAGAUUUAUCGGGGUAUGAUGAGCCCGCGUUGGAUUAGCUAGUUGGUGGCGUAAAGGCCUACCAAGGCGACGAUCCAUAGCUGGUCUGAGAGGAUGAUCAGCCACAUUGGGACUGAGACACGGCCCAAACUCCUACGGGAGGCAGCAGUGGGGAAUAUUGGACAAUGGGCGCAAGCCUGAUCCAGCCAUGCCGCGUGAGUGAUGAAGGUCUUAGGAUUGUAAAGCUCUUUCACCGAUGAAGAUAAUGACGGUAGUCGGAGAAGAAGCCCCGGCUAACUUCUUGCCAGCAGCCGCGGUAAUACUAAGGGGGCUAGCGUUGUUCGGAAUUACUGGGCGUAAAGCGCACGUAGGCGGAUAUUUAAGUCAGGGGUGAAAUCCCGCAGCUCAACUGCGGAACUGCCUUUGAUACUGGGUAUCUUGAGUAUGGAAGAGGUGAGUGGAAUUCCGAGUGUAGAGGUGAAAUUCGUAGAUAUUCGGAGGAACACCAGUGGCGAAGGCGGCUCACUGGUCCAUUACUGACGCUGAAGUGCGAAAGCGUGGGGGAGCAAACAGGAUUAGAUACCCUGGUAGUCCACGCCCGUAAACGAUGAAUAGU
rnacentral:rRNA from 1 species